ACAUGCUCACAACACAGUGUUAAUGCACCAGAUGCCAUUAUAACUCCGUAGUUAAGCACACUUGGGCUAGAGUAGUAUUGGGAUGGGUGACCUCCCAUGAAGUCCUAGUGUUUUUACAUGCC
rnacentral:rRNA from 1 species